rnacentral:rRNA from 1 species
UACAGAGGGGGCAAGCGUUGUUCGGAAUCACUGGGCUUAAAGCGUGUGUAGGCGGGCCCGUAAGUGUCUUGUGAAAUCCCCCGGCUCAACCGGGGAACGGCUGGGCAUACUGCGGGUCUUGGGCCGACUAGGGGCAGCCGGAACAAGCGGUGGAGCGGUGAAAUGCGUAGAUAUCGCUUGGAACGCCGAAGGUGAAAACAGGCUGCUGGGGUCGCGCCGACGCUGAGACACGAAAGCCAGGGGAGCAAACGGG